rnacentral:rRNA from 1 species
ACGGAGGGUGCAAGCGUUAUCCGGAUUUAUUGGGUUUAAAGGGUGCGUAGGCGGUAGAAUAAGUCAGUGGUGAAAAGCUGCAGCUCAACUGUAGACCUGCCAUUGAAACUGUUUAACUUGAGUAUCAAUGAGGUAUGCGGAAUGGGUAAUGUAGCGGUGAAAUGCUUAGAUAUGACCUAGAACACCGAUUGCGAAGGCAGCAUACUAAACGAUUAUUGACGCUGAUGCUCGAAAGCGUGGGGAUCAAACAG